UUUCCGUAGGUGAACCUGCGGAAGGAUCAUUCAUAAUAAAGUGUUUUAUGGCACUUUUUAAAAAUCCAUAUCCACCUUGUGUGCAAUGUUAGAUCUCGUCAAUCUUGGCGAGAUUUUUAUACAUCAACUCAUUCUUUAACUAAUUUGUCUGAAAAAUAUCAUGAAUACUUAAUUCAAAAUACAACUUUCAACAACGGAUCUCUUGGCUCUC
rnacentral:misc_RNA from 1 species